UGGCGGCGUGGAUAAGACAUGCAAGUCGAACGCUGAUUAGAGGGUAGCAAUAUUCUCUAGUCGGAGUGGCGCAAGGGUGCGUAACACGUGGGUAAUCUGCCGUGAAGUUGGGGAUAACUCGCUGAAAGGCGAGCUAAUACCGGAUGUGAAUGUUGGGGAGCAUUUUCUGACAUUCAAAGCUGGGGACCGCAAGGCCUGGCGCUUCACGAUGAGCCCGCGGCCUAUCAGCUAGUUGGUGAGGUAACGGCUCACCAAGGCUAAGACGGGUAGCUGGUCUGAGAGGACGACCAGCCACACUGGAACUGAGACACGGUCCAGACACCUACGGGUGGCAGCAGUCGAGAAUUUUUCACAAUGGGCGCAAGCCUGAUGGAGCGACGCCGCGUGGGGGAUGAAGGGUUUCGAUCCGUAAACCCCUGUCAUUUGCGAACAAUUGCCAUUCCCUAAUACGGAAUGGUUUGAUAGUAGCGGAAGAGGAAGGGACGGCUAACUCUGUGCCAGCAGCCGCGGUAAUACAGAGGUCCCAAGCGUUGUUCGGAUUCACUGGGCGUAAAGGGUGCGUAGGUGGCCGGGUAAGUUCGAUGUGAAAGCUCGGAGCUUAACUCCGAAAUGGCAUUGAAUACUAUCCGGCUGGAGGGUCGGAG
rnacentral:rRNA from 1 species